ACGGCCCGGGUUGGGCACUAGGGGGGACAGAGAACAGCCUGGCCAAGGAACAGGGGUCAGGCAGCAGGCGCGACCAGGAACAGCCGCAUCAGUGAGCAGUGGGACAGGGAACAGCAUGGUUAGGAAUAGCAGCCGGAAUAGGACCAGGCAGGAGGCGGGACCGGGCCCAACCGAGUUAGGAGGAUAGGGAACAGGCGGGAGCGGCCACGGUCGGGUGGGACAGGGAACGGGCUGCACUGGGAGCGGGCGGGAUAGGGAACAGGUGGAAGUAGGGAACAGCCAGGUUAGGCAGCAGCUGGGAAUAGGGAACAGAUAAAAUGGGCAGUAGGUGGAAGCGGGAACAGCCGGGUUAGGGGAUGGACGGGAUGGGGAACAGGUGGGGCCAGGAGCGAGCAGGACAAUGAACAGCCGGGCUAGGGAGCAGGCGGGAUUAGGGACAGACAGGAUGGCUGCACUGUGUCGGCCCGCAGGUCCCCACAGGAGGGAGCCUGGGACACAUCUUGCAAUAUCUGCACAUUGUCCUAAUUCCCUCUGCUCUCUGCUUGACCAACAUCUCCAAGCUUUUAGGGUGGAGCAUGUGCAGUAACCCUAACCCUUAUUUAAAAACUCUGUUAAACUACUGGGCCUGGGAAGGUCAUAACCAAACGUUUUACACGUUUCCCAUCAGAGUGACAUCAGCUCUGCUGACCUGGCACAUUUGUGACACCAUUAGCAGCUUCUGCUUUGCCCCCUGGCAAGAAGCAGUCAAGUUGAAUUUCAAGGAUUUAUCGCUGGAAUUUGCAAACAGCCUGAAAAACCCAACCAAACAAUCCACAAAGGAUGCAUCGAGGUUUCCUUAACAGCUCUGGCUGCAGCCAGACUAGUUGGAUGCUCCAACCUGGCCUUGAGCCCUUCCAGGGAUGGGGCAGCCACAGCUUCCCCCGCCAGCCUGUGCCAGGGCCUCAGCGCAGCAGCUGGAGCUGGUUUUUGGGGGAAGAACAAAAGCUUUGGGCAGCAUUAACUCAGGGAAAGGCAGAGUGAGAAGGAGCAGGCUGGCUUUUCCUGAAGGGGCAUCAGGCUCUGGAAUGGUGAGCCAUGGACAAGGUGUUUGCCAGGAUUCCAUGUCCCCCUUGGACAAUGGCCCACAGACACGGUGAUUCCCACAGUCCAGUGUUCCAGGAGGAUGGUGGCCCACGGACAAGUUUCCCAGGAUUCAGUGUCACCUGUACAUAGGAUGGUGAUCUACAGUCAUGGUGUUUCCCAGGAGUUGGUGGCCCCUUGGGGAUUUAGUGGCCCCUGGGAAGAGUGGCUUGUGGACACGGUGUUUUCCAGGAUUUGGUGUCCCCUGAGGAUUGUGGCCCAGGUGCGUGGUGUUUCCUAGGAUUCAGUCUCCUCUGUGGAUGGUGGCCCACGGGCACAGUGUUUCCUAGGACUUAGCGUCCCCUCGUGAGAGUAGCUCUUGGGGCUCAGUGCUCCCAGGAUUAGGCUGUCACCCAGGGACAGGGCUCCAUGGGCACAGUGCUUCCCAGGAUUUGGUGUCCCCGGGCGUGGCGGCCACCCAAGGGCGUGGCCGGUGCCGGUGCCCCGGGGCCCGGGCUCGCUGCCGCCGCUGCGCUGGGCGCUGCCGGGGUGCGGGAUGUACGCCGGCGGGAAGAGGAAGAAACCCGUGCCCAAGAGCCCCAAACCGCGUCCCCCCGAGGGUGUGAAGUCCAAGCCCUCCAAGCGGCACCGGGCCCGGCUGAACCAGGAGCUGAACAAGCUGACGGGGCUGCUGCCCUUCCCCGAGGAUGUGCGCUCCAGGCUGGAUAAACUCUCCAUCCUCCGGCUGGCCGUGGGCUACCUGAAGGUGAAGAGCUACCUGAUGGCUACAGCUCCAAAUGUUGGCAACUGCGUGGAUCAGCCCAGAGCCCCAGGAGGGGACAGAUGGAUGGAGCCCCAGGGUGACAGGGAGCUGUUUCCUGAGGGGGAGCUGCUGCUCCAGGCCCUCAAUGGAUUUGUCAUCGCCGUGACUGGAGACGGCUACAUCUUCUACAUCUCCCAUACCGUGCAGGACUACCUGGGCUUCCACCAGUCGGAUCUCAUCUACCAGAGCGUGUAUGAGCUGAUCCGUGCGGACAACAGGGCCGCCUUCCGCCGCCAGCUGCAGGGGACCCCAGUGCAUGCUGCUGACACUUUCCCCCCUGAGCAGCCACUGCUUGCCAGGUGCAGCGCCGUGUCCAGCCCCCAGCACCGCCAUACUGAGAAGGAAUCCUUCGUGGAGAGGAGCUCCACCUGCCGCUUCCGCUGCCUGCUGGAUAACUCCUCAGGAUUCCUGGCCUUGAAUUUCUGUGGGCACCUGAAGUUCCUUCUUGGGCAGCAAAAGUCAGCAGCAGACAAGUCCCCAGUUGCUCUCUUUGCCAUUGCCACGCUCCUCCAGCCUCUCUCCCUCCUGGAGCUCCGGACCAAAACGCUGAUCUUCUAGACAAAGCACAAGCUGGACUUCACUCCCACGGCCUGUGAUUCCCGGGGGAAGGUUGUCCUUGAACACACGGAGGUGGGGCUGUGCAGGAGGGGAUCUGGAUACCAGUUUGUGCAUGCAGCCGACAUGAUGCACUGCUCAGAGCACCACAUGAGAAUGAUGAAGACCGGGGAGAGCGGGCUGACGGUGCUCCGGCUGCUGACCAAGAGGGGCAGCUGGGUGUGGCUGCAGGCCAACGCACGGCUGGUGUACAAAGGGGACAGGCCCGACUGCAUCAUCGCCCACCAGCGAGCCCUGUCGAAUGAAGAAGGGGAGGAAUAUCUCCAGAAGAGAAACCUGCAGCUGCCUUUCAGCUUUGCCGCGGGGGAAGCAGUCUUGUAUGGGAAUGACCUUCCUGUGUUCUUGGACUCAUUCCAAACCAAGGAGGGGUUGCAGGUACAAGCAAACUCCAGUUCAGAGCAGUGCUUGGUAGACCCCAACUCUCUCCUUGGGGCCAUAAUGAAGCAGGAUGCAUCCAUAUACAAUUCCCUUGCUGACAACCUGCCUCAGUUCUCCCUGCCAGGUUUCAACGCUGAGCCUGAUGGGCUGACCCGGAAUGAGGACAUCAGCAGUGCCAAGGACAGCGACUCUCUCCUGGUGGUCAUCGAAACCCUCUCUGAGAAGAGUGAGGUGGAUGGAAAUGUCUGCCAGAGCCUAAACGUGGGCAGCACAGAGCUGCAGCACUGGGAGGAAGCUCUGCUCAGCCUGGGGGCAGAGGAGGAUCCACCAGCUCAGGGGUUCGGCCAGAGGCCAGGCACCAAGGUGACAUCCUCUGUAGAGCAGACGCUCCUCAGGGAGGGUGCUGGAAAGAGAUUGGACUUCCGACACUGCCAUGAGGAAAACAGUGCUGUGCCUCACUUCCAGCACUGCUGGGCAGCUGGUUCAGCAUUCCCAGCACAGCCCCAGGCAGCAGGCACAUGGGGAGGCCAGGAGGUUGUGGGCUCCAUGGGCUCCAUUCCCUCUGAGGGCAGCUUUGCCCAGCCAGAGCUGCAGGUCCCGUUUAACCCAGCUGGACUAGUGACAGGGACUGUGCUGGGUGUCCCCAUCUCCAGCAGCAAAUCCUCUGCAGCACUUCAGCUGGCAAACCAGGCAUUUCAGACAGAAGCUACACCCCCUGCUCCUGUAGAUAACGCUCUUCCUACUGCUCAGAGCCAGCCUGGGUGCCAGCUGGUGGGCUCAAGCUGCUCACCACCGUUGCACUCAAACACGUUGGUGACUCUGUGGCACAGUGUCCCCCUCCAGGCAAACCCAGACAGUUGCCCAUCUGAGGCUUCGUUGACCAUAGCUCCAAAACAGCUGGAAGCUGCAGGAGCCUACGUGGAGUCCCAGACUCUGCCAGGUGGCAGUCCUGAGAAUCCCCUGGAGGCUGUGCUGUGGUUGCUGCCCCCUCCCAAUCUUUUCCUUGCCCUGCCCAGGGCUUGCAUGAGUCCCAGUUCUCUGGGAAUGGGAAGCUCUGUGAUGUGGAGGCUGCUCCCCCUGCACCCUCAGGAGCCAGGCAGCUGCCAGGGCAUGGCAGCUUCCCCAAACAGCCCCUGGUAGCCCAUGCAGAUCCCAGCUUUUCCUGGGAGAGGGAGCAGGCAGUGCUCUGAGAGGACAAGUGGUUCUCACAGCCGUGGCUCCCACAGGCUGGGGCAGCUCCUCAGACGUGCCAUGGGGCAGGGCCAGUGCACCACAGUGGGCUCCAGCACAGAUCCCAGCACCCAGCAGAUGGACUGAGUUGUGCUGUCCGAGUGCCAGUACGGAAACAGCCUUUUUAGGCAUGAGAGCAACUUCCUUGAGGGAUGCUGCUAAAAUACCCCUUCCCCAGCAGCUGGGCGCUUUGCCUUGCCCCGCUGAGAACCACCCUGGAGCACCCUGCUCCGCACUGGGCUUGGUUUCAAGGUGCUCAGCAGCUCUCCCUGUGAAGGUGGGUGCAGGAGCCCCCCCGUGCUCCGGGCAGGGCCCUGGCUGCCCAUCAGUUCCCUGUUCAGCUGGCAGCCCCUCUGUGACUGUGAGAUCCAACUCAAGGUGAGGUGCGAGGGCUGCAGGACCUGAGGGGAGCCUGGCUCCUGUGGAGGGAGAAAGGGGUCUGCCAGGGGUGCAGCCACACCAUCCUUUAUGGGCAGCCUGGUUUGGAGCUCACUGUGAACCAGGAGCCCUGUCUUGGAAAGCCACCAGCAGCUGUGAGCUCUUCUCAUACCUGCCAGUGGGGCCCCAUGCUCCCUGGUCUCUCAGGAUUUUGUCUUCCAGUGCUGUCAGGCAGUCUAAGAUGAAGUGGUUUGGACUUUUUGUUCCAUGAGAAGUCUUUUGGGGAGAUGCAGCUGUGCCACUGGAGAGGCCUGCGGGCUCCUGGGGUCCAAGGAAGGACAGUGCUUGCUGGCACAUCCAUGUGCUUGGGGCAGCCUCUUGCAGAUGGAGCUGCUGCCUCACAGGCAGGUAGCACGGAACUGCUGUUUUCCAACCAUACAGCAUGCUCUCCUCAUCUCCUCUGUUGGACCACCCUUGUCAUGUUGCUGUUUAGUCCCCUGCAUCAUCUCUGCCAGCCUGAGCCUCUUUUCCUCCUGUGCUCUCCAUCUCCUCCAGAGACCAUCCAAAUCCUUUGGAAAAGAUGUUACCAAGCACUUCAAGAAGCUCAGCAGCAUUGAAGGGUCUUGGUGGGCGGUGGAGUUGGUGGGAGUGAAGGUGUCUUGGGGAUUUGGGCUCUCCAGCAGCCUACCAGGGGAAUUUGGGAGAGGUGGGUUCCAGGCCAUUGUGACCUUUCUGGGAUGCAGGGUGGGGAAGGUGCACCCAAGCUCCUCUUGGGUUUGUCACUGGCUUGUCCUUGUUGUCCUCUUCUCUGCUCCACAGUGCCAAGGGACAGGGAAGAGUGGGUGUUCCCCCUGUGGUUUUGCCAAAGCAGUGAGAAGGAAAGGCAGGGAGGGAUGCAGUGACCACUGGCUGCCUCUCCAGACCCACUUGGUGCCCCUCAAACCAUUUUCCUGCAGCCCAGAACAACCAUUUUGCUGAUUUCUCUUCCUUUCUGUGUAUGUAACCUAAGAUGUGAAUGAAUUGUUUUUUCCCCACCGUGAGAGCAAAGUCUUGCAGAUCCAUCAGGGAAACCCACCAAAAAAAAAAAAAAAAAAUUGGGGGGGGGGGGGGGGAUGAUUUGAGACCACACUGACUUACAACACUGGGUCGGAGAGGUCAGAGUGCUUGGGGACAUUCACACCUUGCCCUCACGCACCCAUCACCCUGAGCAUUGUAUCUCACACCAGUGUUAAGCAUUUAGGAUCAAAUUAAAUCAGGUAAUUAGUGCAGGGCUGGCAGCAAGCCCACAUGUCCUGGUGUAAAGUGGCCUCAUCUCCCUGGGUCUCUUCCUUCAUGCCCAGCUUUGCCUCUGCUCACGAGACCUGGGAAAGAUCAAGCUCCUCUCUGCAGGCUGGGAGCAGAGCAGUGCUGAAAUGUGCUGGACCACUCUAAGGUGGCUUCCAGGAGCACCUUGGCUGGGCAAGGAGUUGACUGGCCAUGAUCCAGAUCCAAAAAGCAGCAGGAUGGACUCUGCUCACUGGCCUCUGUUCUGGCACCUGUGAGACGGUGCUGGGGGUGUACCAGGGGCUCCCAGUGCUGCAAGAGAUGGACCUUGGGGUGGGGGCACUGCUGCUUGGGGCCUUGACAGACCCCCCUGUGCUCUGUCACUGGUGUCUGAUCUCUCUGUACUUCAUGGCUGUACAGAUAGUCUGUUCUGGUGCAGUGUCUCAUUUUCUGCUCUGUGAUUUCUUUGUGCUGCUGGUGGCAGCCAGAAGGUGCUGAGGAGAAAAGAGCUGUCUGGAGCCUCACCCCUGUGUUUGGCGAUGUAUUAAAAGGCAAUUUGCUUUGUGCUGAUGUUUGUUUUGACCCGAAACCAUGUCUCUCCAUUUCCUCCUUGACUGAGCAAGGGCUGGGAAAAGCCUAGCCCUGGUGCUGGAUGUGUGACACUCUCGUUGUCACUGUCCCCAGCUACUGUGGGCAUGCAGGGCAGCAGAGG